rnacentral:lncRNA from 11 species
GGGGCUGCGAUGCCAAGCGGCUGUUCCUCUCCUUCGCCUGCCCUUGGGGUUGGGGGCGGGGCGAGAGCAGGAGGGCGGGGCCUAGGCCAGUGUGGGCGGAGCUAAGAGACCCUCCCUUCGCGGCGCCUUCCCCCAUCUGGACCUGGCGCAGUCUGGGCUCGGAUCCGGGGCUCGCUUGCUGUCGCCGCCGCCGCCGCCUGGGCAGCCUCUGCUUCCGAGGGAGCGAUGGGCCCGGCGCUGCUGCUCGCGCUGCUCUCGGGCCUCGGAGCCGCCAAGCCUCUCACCACCCCAGGGAACUCGCAUGGAGGGAUCAACCACAAUCUGUCUGGAGGUCCCCGGCGGGUGCGACGUGAGCUUCAGGGGGCACCCUAUGAAGCUGUGGGAUCUGCAUUGGCUAAUGAGGUGUACUACCCAGAUCUGAUUCGCCUGGCGGCGCUGGAGAGAGCCAUGUCACCCCAAGGUGGUCAGCUGCAGGAAGAGCAUCUUGCUCAAGCGUUAGAGCGAGCCAUGGCUUCCAGUGGCAACCAGCUCCAAGAUGACCGCUUGGCUCAGGCGCUGGAACGAGCCGUCGCCCCACCUAGUCAUCAGUACCAGCCAGAUGAGCGCUUGGCCUUAGCUCUGCAGCACCUUCUUCAGGAUGGGCAUCGCCGAGAUCAAGAAUCUGUCUACCUGGCCAACCUGCUAAGGCUUUGGGAUGAAGCGAAGGGUGCCCAGUUGUAUCCCGAGUAUGACGAGACCGGCUUAGCGGGUGCCUCCUCUCCACCCCGAUCGCUGCCGAAUCGUUACUGGGUCCCCGAAGGGGGAUUUGAAGCCCAAGAAGAGCUGGGAGGGGAAGAAGAACCCACUGGAGAGAUUGAUCCUGAAAUGCUGAGAUACCUGAUUGGCCGAAUCCUGUCAAGAGCGGGCAACCUGAACCCCCAGCGCCUCCCAAUGUCCUCCAGACGACUGCGCCGUGCCAUCUUUGACGGAGAUCUGCCUGAGCCCCCCAAUCUUCUGAGGGUCAAGAGGCUAGGUGGGGAGGCAGCGGGGGAACCCCAACUGCAAAGAGUCAAGCGGAAAGAAGGAGAAGGAGUCGGGGGGAGGAGGGGUGUUGCUGGAGAAAUUCAGCGGCUUCAGUAUAUCCCUGAAUAGCAGGAGUUGGCCUUUGCAGAAAAACUGGGUGUAGGGGUCACCCCAUCUUUCUCCCCUUCCCUCUGCCAUGCUCUGAAUAUCAAUGGACUGUGUUUUUUCCUUGCCUCUGUUCUGCCUUGUGACCCCUCACAUAUUGGGGAGGAAGGGGAGAAAGCUUGGGCUAGAGUUCCCUUCCCAGUUACCGUUUGGUUUGGAGGGGGAGAGCUUUUCCCCAUAUAAAUUUUCUGCACACCCUCUUUAAGAAGCCCAAUGUCAGCUGAAUGGCUGCACUAUAACAGUGAGCAGCUCUCCUUGCUCCAAACCCAGAAUCCAAUGUCGUCACCUUCUGCCUCUGAUUCCUGGCCUUCAAAAAAAUGGCUCAAACAUGCAGUCCCCAAAUCUUCCUUCUACAUUAAUGAUCCCAUCACCACAUCACUCCGUCUCUCGCCCCCUUCUCCCCUAGUCUCCUCCUCCUUGUUUUUGUCUUGUUUGUAGGACCCUUUUUGUGAUCACCCUCCCUUGGUACAUACUAACACAUAUGCACCCUCUGCAGAUUUGUUGCUAUGUUUGAUCAUGUUUGUGGCCAGAGUUUUGGUGUGAUGAAUAAAUGAAUAAAAAAGUCCCCUUGGAUAUUUUAAUGUAGCGUUGGCG